UAUGUAACUCAUUUUAUUUAUAUCUGGCAGGCAUUGAAACAUUGUGCUCCUAAGAACAGACUUGAGGCUUUUUUUUUUUUUUUUACCUCUGUUGACACAACAAGAAAAGACCAGAUUUUUAACCCUGUAAACUGUAUGUUAGUAAAUAGAAACAUAGACCUGACCCUACUACUCCCAUUGCCAGGGCAAAGUGUGAACCCUUAGCAUAGUGUAUAGGGUUUCUUAUUAUUUGACAGCCAUCAAUGUAUAUUGUAUUUUCUGCAACCACUAUAUACCAUGAAUAUAACCUGUCUAAUACAUAAAAAAUUCCAUUUUCCCCAGAAUGUACCAUGUUUUCUUUUACUAUCUCUUUACUUCUGUUGUUCACCCUAUCUGCAGUGACAUAACUCUACCUUGCUUUUUUCCUGACUAGAAGACAACUGUCACACUUCAAAACCAAAGUUAAUUUCUACUUUUCCUCCACGAAAAUUGUCUAGUCUUCCCCAAAUUCAAUAUUCCCUAUUCUGGGCUUCCAAAUCAUUUUGUGUAGAACUAUAUAGUAGGCAAAGAUUUUCUUUUUGUUAUUUGGGUUUUAGAAAUAACUACUCUAAUUAUCAUCCUUACUAAACAACCAGCUAUUAUGUACCUUUGUAUACUUAUCCAUACUUGUUGAACCAUUAAUAAUGUGCCAUGUGAUUUACUAAGCAUGUUACAUGCUGAAUCUCCAGCCCCUACAGUAAUCCAGUGAAUUUGGUAUCAUUUUCCAUUUCACAGAUGCAACAACUGAAGCUCAAAGGAUUGAAAUGACCUUUUGGCUUAAAAAACUAACUUUCUGUAUUAGUCAGGGUUCCCCAGAGAAACAGAACCAAUAGAAAUAUAUAGAUAUACAAAAAAGGCAUUAAUUAUUAGAGACUGUCUACAAAAUUAUGGAGACUGAGACGUCUCACAAUCUGCAGUCUGGGGUGGUGGUGGGUAGGGGUGGCUUGCGUUGUAAGUUGAUCCAGGACCAUAGUCCAGGACCAUUUAUGUCCAGGGAUAGGAGAAUAUGAGAUGGUUGUCCCAGCUCAAGAAAAGGGAGGAAAGAGGGUAAAUUUGCCCUGCCUCUGCCUUUUUUGUUUUAUUCAAGUCCUCAACAAAUUAGAUGAUGCCUCCCCAAAUUGGUGAGGAAGAUCUUUACUGAGUCCACUGAUUCAAAUGUUAAUGUCUUCUGGAAACAGCCUCAAAGACACACCUAGAGAUAUUGUUUUAGCAGCUAUGUGGUCAUCUCUUAGCCCAGCCAAGUAGACACAUAAACUUAAUCAUCACUGUUUCUCAGGUAGAAGGAGAUGUUACACAGAGAAAGAUUCUUCCAAUUAGGGCUUCUUAAUCUCUACCAAGCCAUCCUCUUUAGUUAUAAUAUUUCUGGUCAUAUUUCUGACUAUCUGAUCAUAUUUCAACAUAACAUGAGAGACACACUAGGACACAGCAUUAGAACACAUGAUGUAAUGUAUGCAACAGUGUUUGGAUAGUGUUAUCUAGUAGGGGAGCUAUAAAUAAUAGUACCUUUUCUUUCUUUGCAGGUGUCCUCCCUGAGCAUGAACUGGAAUGACCAGUAUAGCCUACUUUGGUUAUAGGUAACAACAACAGCAACAACAACAAACAACAACAAAAACACACACAGGCCCAUAUUAUAUAUUCACUACAAAAAGGACCAUAUUAUAUAUUCAUCUACAAAAUGUGUGCCCUACACUUGUAGGGACAAAAAAUCCCCACCCUACCUGACUCCAUCCCUAAUUAUGAAAAGACAUAUGCUUCAAGAAACAAGAUCUAUGGCAAACUUUUUUUUUUUAAUCCCUUGGCUACAUGACUAAGACCUGUUCACCUUCCUCCUCGAUGAGUAGCUUGAAAGGUCCUGGCAAAAUCAUACAGCCUCCUCUGUUAAGUGGAGCCGACUCCUGAAAGAGCACUCCUUAUAAAUUGUCUUGUCCAUAUGUUUCUGGAGGAUGUGCCAUCUGGGAUUAGAGUGCUCAUAUUUUAUGAAGCAGGAAACCAAAAAUAUGUUCACAAUUUAACAGUCUCAAUUUGAUGAGAAAGUGGAGUUGAAUUUACAACAAAUUUAUACCAUCUCAAUAUGUGAACCCACUGUGUGCCAGACAUCAUAUUAAGCACUCUUUUGAGUGGAAAUUAAUUAAGAGACAAUUGUUUUGGCUUUUGAGAAAUGGACAAUUCAAAGAAAGACUUAGAGUGAACCUGGCUCUGUUCAACCUGCCAGUAGCAUACAAAAAAUAAAUUUAUAACAAAAUAUCCUAAAAACAGAUUUCAUCACCCAUGCUAGUCCAGUGGAUUUGUAGCAGAUGUCUGCAUCGUUACACUGGAAAAGAAUCUGAGGUUUGAGAAAAAGGGGUGUCAUUACAACGUCUGCCAAGAGCAGGCACAUGUGGUGGCAAAUAUGCCCUAGUCUUGUCUUCUUCGUUGGAACUGAAAGAAGAAAUGGCCAUGCUAGAGCAUUAUUUACAAGUAAUGAUGCUUACUUCAUCCAGCUUUAUUAAUUUAAAAACAUGCGUGAAGAACCAACUAAAUGCCAAAUACCAUAGAGUAAAAAUGACCAGGACCCGGUUCUUGCCCUCAGUGUGCUUGUCAGGACUCCCUCCUCUACCCUUUCUUAGCAUCUUUACGUAUUACAUCCUAUGGUGGCACUUAUAAUACUAUGUAAUUUCUUAUUUACUUGGUCAUAUUAUUCUCAUUAGUGUGUUCAGACUACAAGUCUCAACCCAUUGUUAGAUCAUUAAAUUAAAAGCAGUAGGUUGUGACAGUCAUUCUUCUGGUUAUAAUUAACAGAAUGGAAUAAAAAUAGAAUGAAAUGGAAUAGAAAGUAUUAGAGUGCUUCACACAUAUAUGUAUUAUAUUCAUGUAUGUACAUACCUAUACAUAUAUAUGACUGCAUAGGCUGGACUUAAUAUAAAUUGUAUUUGUCAAAUUGUAUCAUAAUUAGAACACUCGAAAGCCACCAAUUUAUCUAAAAUGUUUAAAACAAGAGUGUAAAAUAUAUUUCAAAAACAGAAGAAAUGUGGAUUAACAAUGAUAGUAAUAAUAAACACAUAGAGUGUAAAUAUGCUAUUUAAACAUAUGUAGUUUAAAUAUGCUUUUUGUAGGUGUAGCUCUAGAAUUUAUAUCCUUAUCCAUUAGAGAAAGAGGAACUGACAGCAGCUCUUCCGGUACUACCGAUCUGCCUGCAUUUCCCCACUACCAGCUCCCACUCUACCUGCAUGUACCUCCAUCAUGUCACUCAUUAGAGUGUGUCCAGUUCAUUAGCUUGCCUAUGUGUCUUGCUAUUAGACUGAGGGCACCUGAAUGCCAGAGACUGUUUUAACUGUUUUCUAAAAUGAGGCAGAAAGCUCUGAUCUGAAUGUUUGUGUCCCUCCAAAAUUUAACCCCUAUUAUGGUGGUAUUAAGAGGUGGGGCAUUUUAGUAUGUGAUUAAAUCAUGAGGGCUCCACCCUCAUAAAUGAGAUUAAUGCCCUUAUAAAAGAGGCUUCCGAGAACCACCUGGCCCUUCCACCUCCUCUACCAGGUCAGGACACAGCAUUUGUCCCUCUUUGUACUCUUCUGUCAUGUGAGAAUGCAGCAAGAAAAUGUCAUCUUGGGAGCAGAGAGCAUUCAACAGACAUCAAAUUUGCUGGCAACUUGAUCUUAGAUAUCUCAGCUUCCAGAACUGUGAGAAAUACAUUUCUGUUCUUUAUAAGUUGCUUAGUCCCAGCUAUUUUCUUAUAGCAGCACAGACUAAGAUUAAUAAUAAUUAUUAUAUAAUAGACACAUAUGUAGGUUUGAGGACAUGCUAUUCUUUAGUCUGGCUCCAGAAUAGAUAUCUUUAUCCAUUAAAGAAAGAGGAUUGACACCAGUUCUUCUGGGUUGACAGAUCUGCCUACUGCUAGAUCUGCCUACAUUUCCCAACCACCAACUACUUUACCCUGCCUGUGCUGCCAGCACAUCGCUCUUCAUAGUGUGUCCAGUUUGUCAGUCUGUCUGCACUUCCCCAUUAGACUGAGGGCACUUGAAGAGCAGAUAAUGCCUUGGCCAUUUUUGAAUGCCCAGAAUUUAGCUUAAAGACAGGCAUCUGGUAGGUGCUCGCUGAAUGUGUGUUGACACACACAGGCAGAUAUCUCCAAAAAGAAGUAAUCUUCUCAGGAAUGUGGUGACAGUGAUGUUGCAGUCAGUAUUAGAUUUAUUGUGGCCAAAAUGCCAUUGGCGUUCUAUAAUCCCUGGACUCUGUAGAACUUAUAGCCAACCUUUGUCUUCUGAAGUUUCUGGUCUUCAUUCUCCCAUUUCUCAUUCUCACUCUCAUAUAAUGAUUCUGAUUUUCACACAGUUUCGCAUUGCUGGGGAGGCCUCAGUAAACUUAUAGUCAUAAUGGAAGGAGAAGCAAGCACCGUCUUCACAGGGCUGCAAGAGAAAGAGUGUAUGCAAAAGCAAGGAAAACCGCCAUAUAAAACCAUCUGAUCUUAUGAGAACUCACUCACUAU
rnacentral:lncRNA from 1 species